rnacentral:rRNA from 1 species
AUUGAACGCUGGCGGCAUGCUUUACACAUGCAAGUCGAACGGCAGCGCGGGCUUCGGCCUGGCGGCGAGUGGCGAACGGGUGAGUAAUACAUCGGAACGUGCCCAGUAGUGGGGGAUAGCUCGGCGAAAGCCGGAUUAAUACCGCAUACGACCUGAGGGUGAAAGCGGGGGAUCUUCGGACCUCGCGCUAUUUGAGCGGCCGAUGGCAGAUUAGCUAGUUGGUGGGGUAAAGGCCUACCAAGGCGACGAUCUGUAGCUGGUCUGAGAGGACGACCAGCCACACGGGAAGUGGAACACGGCCCAGACUCCUACGGGAGGCAGCAGUGGGGAAUUUUGGACAAAGGGCGAAAGCCUGAUCCAGCAAGGCCGCGUGUGUGAUGAAGGCCUUCGGGUUGUAAAGCACUUUUGGCGGGAACGAAAAGGACUGUGCCAAUACCACGGUUCAAUGACGGUACCCGCAGAAUAAGCACCGGCUAACUACGUG